UACGUAGGGGGCAAGCGUUGUCCGGAUUUAUUGGGCGUAAAGAGCGUGUAGGCGGCCGCACAGGUCCGUUGUGAAAACUGGAGGCUUAACCUUCAGACGUCGAUGGAAACCGUGCGGCUAGAGUCCGGAAGAGGAGAAUGGAAUUCCUGGUGUAGCGGUGGAAUGCGCAGAUAUCAGGAAGAACACCCGUGGCGAAGGCGGCUCUCUGGGACGGUACUGACGCUGAGACGCGAAAGCGUGGGGAGCGAACAGG
rnacentral:rRNA from 1 species